rnacentral:lncRNA from 1 species
UCAAGAGCUCUGCAGUAUGAGAGGACAGGUCUUUCAGCAGCUUUUCUAUCCUCUUGAAAGUAUAGAAUCAUAAGAAAUGAGAACAAAUAUGUCACCAUCAUAGAAAAAUAUUUUGAUUGUCCAGUCAUCUCCUGUCAACUGCCUAUUCACCUCAUUAUAGUCAACACUGCUAGAAGCUCUUCACUUUGACUGAAUGACUUAUGUUUCUUCUAGAACCUG